rnacentral:rRNA from 1 species
GAACAUUCAACAACAGCUGUUGACGCCAGAGAUAGUAGGGCGGGCUCAAGUGUACAUUACAUAUUAUUGUUCACUAAGGAGUCUGUUACGCCUGCUAGUCGAGCAACCAACUACUGGUCGGGCGGUUGCCGGCAAGAUGACCUGGUACGGGGAAGGCCUUCAUGCUAACAGGCUAAUCCCGUGGCGAGCUUGUUGGGGGUGACCUCUUCAAAGCCGUCGUAACGCACGCUAAGGCAUCGGCCGGUCUCUUUCUGCGGAAAAGAGUCGGCUUAAGGGACGUGCUAAACCCAUCCGAUGAUAAAGGAUGCCACAAGCAAUAGACCCCGACCGUCAAAGGCUUGUGGGGGCCAUUGGGCAAGGAGGAAAUGCCUUGCACUUAAGCCGCCCGGUAUGUGAAAGAAGCAGGGUGUUAUUCCAACUCUUGUGGGCCUUGAGAGACUGCAUCUGUCACCGUAGAUGGUGACACGUGGCAUGAUCUGAGGGCACAUGAGUUGUUGCGAGGGAUGCAGCCUGCUAACACCUUUG